AUUUUGGACAAUGGGCGAAAGCCUGAUCCAGCAAUGCCGCGUGAGUGAAGAAGGCCGUCGGGUUGUAAAGCUAUUUUGUCAGGGAAGAAACGGUGAGGGCUAAUAUCACUUGCUAAUGACGGUACCUGAAGAAUAAGCACCGGCUAAGUACGUGCCAGCAGCCGCGGUAAUACGUAGGGUGCAAGCGUUAAUCGGAAUUACAGGGCGUAAAGCGUACGCAGGCGGUUUUGUAAGUCUGAUGUGAAAUCCCCGGGCUCAACCUGGGAAUUGCAUUGGAGACUGCAAGGCUAGAAUCUGGCAGAGGAGGGUAGAAUUCCACGUGUAGCAGUGAAAUGCGUAGAUAUGUGGAGGAACACCGAUGGCGAAGGCAGCCCCCUGGGUCAAGAUUGACGCUCAUGCACGAAAGCGUGGGGAGCAAACA
rnacentral:rRNA from 1 species